AUGGACAUUCACCUCUCUGAUGAGCCAGAUAUGAUUAACUGUAGACGAUCCGUGAAUGGAGUUUUCUUAAUGAAAUCUAUGCAUCUAGACUUAAUUGAUUCUUGUCCAAUUCCGAAAUCAUUACAUACUUUAAUAAUUAAAGUACCUUUAAGAAUCGGAAUCUUCAUGUGGUUUGUUUACAUGGAUGUUAUUCUGACUAGCAUAACUUGGCAAAGCAAAGAUGGGAGGAUAGUAAACGAUGUUAUUUUUGUGAUCAGGAUAAACUAUCAAGCUCCUCUUUCUGGAUUAUGCUCUUGCCAAACUUUUAUGGCGUUCAAUUCAUAUAGCCUUUCAUGUCAGCCCCAAGUAUAG
rnacentral:rRNA from 1 species